GGGGGUCAUCCCGACUUACCAACCCGAUGCAAACUGCGAAUACCGGAGAAUGUUAUCACGGGAGACACACGGCGGGUGCUAACGUCCGUCGUGAAGAGGGAAACAACCCAGACCGCCAGCUAAGGUCCCAAAGUCAUGGUUAAGUGGGAAACGAUGUGGGAAGGCCCAGACAGCCAGGAUGUUGGCUUAGAAGCAGCCAUCAUUUAAAGAAAGCGUAAUAGCUCACUGGUCGAGUCGGCCUGCGCGGAAGAUGUAACGGGGCUAAACCAUG
rnacentral:rRNA from 1 species